rnacentral:rRNA from 1 species
GAUGAACGCUGGCGGCGUGCCUAAUACAUGCAAGUCGAGCGAACUUUCGAUCAUCGUUGCUCUCUCCACCGUAAGAAGAGGAGGGGCGAACGGGAGAGUAACACGCUAGUUACAAGCCCAUCAGCGCGGGGUAACACCGGAAAAAAGACGCUAAUAUCUUUAACUUCCAUUUACCCAAUAGUAAAUGGCUGUUCGGCUCUCUUUUGUAGAUGAUCGAGCGACCUAGGAUGUAUUUGCUAGUUGGAGGGGUAACGGCUUACCAAGGCUAUAACGCACAGCCGACCUGAGAGGGUGAUCGGCCACAUGGGAACGGGGACACGGCCCAGACUCCUACGGGAGGCAGCAGUAGGGAAUCUUGCGCAAUGGCCGAAAGCCUGACGGAGCACUGCCGCGUGAGUGAAGAAGGUUUUCGGAUCGUAAAACUCGUUUGUAAGGGAAGAACAGGUAGGUAAGUAACUGUACAUACCUUGACGGUACCUAACCAGAAAGCCACGGCUAACUACGUG